rnacentral:rRNA from 1 species
GAUGAACGCUGACAGAAUGCUUAACACAUGCAAGUCGAUGGGGAAGUGGUGCUUGCACCAUGGUAACCAUGGCGGACGGGUGAGUAACGCGUAAGGAACUUGCCUGCGGGACUGGGAUAACAGCAGGAAACUGCUGAUAAUACCGGAUAAGGUCAUUAAGCUGCAUAGCUUAGUGAUGAAAGGAGACGCCUGCGGAGAGCCUUGCGUCCUAUUAGCUAGUUGGAGGGGUAACGGCCCACCAAGGCGAAGAUAGGUAGCCGGCCUGAGAGGGUGGACGGCCACAAGGGGACUGAGAUACGGCCCUUACUCCUACGGGAGGCAGCAGUGGGGAAUAUUGGACAAUGGGGGCAACCCUGAUCCAGCAAUUCUGUGUGCACGAAGACGGUUUUCGGAUUGUAAAGUGCUUUCAGCAGGGAAGAAGGAAGUGACGGUACCUGCAGAAGAAGCGACGGCUAAAUACGUGCCAGCAGCCGCGGUAAUACGUAUGUCGCGAGCGUUAUCCGGAAUUAUUGGGCAUCAAGGGCAUCUAGGCGGCCUUUCAAGUCAGGGGUGAAAACCUGCGGCUCAACCGCAGGCCUGCCUUUGAAACUGAUAGGCUGGAGUACCGGAGAGGUGGACGGAACUGCACGAGUAGAGGUGAAAUUCGUAGAUAUGUGCAGGAAUGCCGAUGAUGAAGAUAGUUCACUGGGCGGUAACUGACGCUGAAGUGCGAAAGCCGGGGGAGCGAAC